GAUGAACGCUGGCGGCGUGCCUAAUACAUGCAAGUCGAGCGAACGGACGAGGAGCUUGCUCCUCUGAUGUUAGCGGCGGACGGGUGAGUAACACGUGGAUAACCUACCUAUAAGACUGGGAUAACUUCGGGAAACCGGAGCUAAUACCGGAUAAUAUUUUGAACCGCAUGGUUCAAAAGUGAAAGACGGUCUUGCUGUCACUUAUAGAUGGAUCCGCGCUGCAUUAGCUAGUUGGUAAGGUAACGGCUUACCAAGGCAACGAUGCGUAGCCGACCUGAGAGGGUGAUCGGCCACACUGGAACUGAGACACGGUCCAGACUCCUACGGGAGGCAGCAGUAGGGAAUCUUCCGCAAUGGGCGAAAGCCUGACGGAGCAACGCCGCGUGAGUGAUGAAGGUCUUCGGAUCGUAAAACUCUGUUAUUAGGGAAGAACAUAUGUGUAAGUAACUGUGCACAUCUUGACGGUACCUAAUCAGAAAGCCACGGCUAACUACGUG
rnacentral:rRNA from 1 species